rnacentral:rRNA from 1 species
AACGAACGCUGGCGGCAUGCCUAACACAUGCAAGUCGAACGAGACCUUCGGGUCUAGUGGCGCACGGGUGCGUAACGCGUGGGAACCUGCCCUUAGGUUCGGAAUAACUCCCCGAAAGGGGUGCUAAUACCGGAUAAUAUCUCCGGACCAAAGGUUUAUCGACGUUGGAUGGGCCCGCGUUGGAUUAGCUAGUUGGUAGGGUAAAAGCCUACCAAGGCGACGAUCAAUAGCUGGUCUGAGAGGAUGAUCAGCCACACUGGGACUAAGACACGGCACAGACUCCUACGGGAGGCAGCAGUGGGGGAUAUUGGACAGUGGGCGGAAGCCUGAUCCAGCAAUGCAGCGUGAGUGAUGUAGGCCUUAGGGUUGUAAAGCUCUUUUACACGGGAGGAUAAUGACAGUACCGGGAGAAUAAGCUCCGGCUAACUACGUG